UUGGAAGAGACGCAUCUUUUGUCUUCUUACACAUUAUAAAUUUCCAGUCGGCUCCGAGAGUUCCCUCUUCUUCAACUCCGUGGUAGACGUCUUCACUCGGCUGACUCGGUGUUGUCUCUAAGCUCCAGUGUCCAGACCCUGAGAUCUGGAAAAGAUUCAUCAAGAGAUUUGCCAAGACAAUAGUCAAGGUGCUCUUAGCCUAUAAUGAUAUUGGCAAGAAAGAAUUUACUAAUUAUGUCCGUGAUGAGAAAAAGGCCUGUAUCCUCAUGAACAACAUACAACAAUUAAGAGUUCAGCUGGAGAAGAUGGGCGGCAGGAACCCAUAUCGAGGAAGACGUCGCCACCAUCCUCGGUGAGCUGCAGGGUACUGUACCCUCAACACAGUCCUGGAUCAACUCGCUCAUCAGUUUGCCAAGAGCUUGGAGGGUCAUAUUGCUGUAAGAAAUGGGCAACAAACUGGCAGCAGUGAAGGGCACAGGCCAGGUGCAGCCGUCACAAUGCAACGAAGUCGCCAUCGAGGCGGACGACGCAUUAGUGUCCUCGAUGGACUUGCUGAAGGUCUCCUUCACUCUUUAUGACCAGUCCUGUGAGAAGACAGUGCUGAAGAGACUCCCGAAGGAACUGUGGAAGAUUGUCAUGACCGCGAUGGAGAAGACGGUCGUGCCGCCUCCCGUGACCGACGAGGUGGUAAGAUUUUCUUUGGUUAAUUCGUCUCCGUAUGGAUUUUCUCAUAACUGGAUCAUAACUCUCGGUUCUCUUUCCAGGUACCAAUUUGUGUUGACUUUUCCCAUAUACAGAGAAAAGUUACUGUGGCAGAAGUAUUUAUAAACAGGAUCAUUGUUUUAGUCCAUAACCCUAUAAGAUUAUUUUUUUAAGAUGUGUAAUAAACAGGAAGCUAAAGAUCAGUAAUGUCUAAUCAUUGUGAAGAACAUCAUACCAAUUUUCAGGUUCCUGUAACAUACAGUAAUUAUUUAUGGUACUUGAAUAAAAAAAUGAGUCUGUGUUCAGAAUUUGUGUCUGCUUCAUUUUAAAGGGAUUGCUGUAUCAUGAAUAAAAUACAGAGGAUGUGUUCUUUACCUCCUGUAAUAUACUGUACAGUCAACCCUUGCUUUACGCGCUUCCACGUUCACGCGUUACCCUGCCGAACACGGAAUGCUCACUUUCCGUGGUGUGUGUACCCUUUUACGCGGAGAGCGGCGCGAGCAGGGUGCGCACAAAGUCGCCCU
rnacentral:misc_RNA from 1 species